AUGCAUGUCUAAGUACAAGCCUUAACAAGGUGAAACCGCGAAUGGCUCAUUAAAUCAGUUAUGGUUCCUUAGAUCGUUCCAUCCUACUUGGAUAACUGUAGUAAUUCUAGAGCUAAUACAUGCCAGCAAGCUCCGACCUUCACGGGAAGAGCGCUUUUAUUAGACCAAAACCAACGCGGGGGCAACUCCGCCAAAGCUUGGUGACUCUGGAUAACUUUGUGCCGAUCGCACGGCCCUAGCGCCGGCGACGUAUCUUUCAAAUGUCUGCCCUAUCAACUUUCGAUGGUACGUGCUAUGCCUACCAUGGUUGUAACGGGUAACGGGGAAUCAGGGUUCGAUUCCGGAGAGGGAGCAUGAGAAACGGCUACCACA
rnacentral:rRNA from 1 species